rnacentral:rRNA from 1 species
CAGUGAUGUGGAGCUAAACUGAAAAAAGUAAGUCUCAGUUCGGAUUGAAGGCUGAAAUUCGCCUUCAUGAAGCCGGAAUUGCUAGUAAUGGCAGGUCAGCAUACUGCCGUGAAUACGUUCCCGGGCCUUGUACACACCGCCCGUCACACCAUGAGAGUUGGGAAUACCCGAAGCCUGUGAGCUAACUAUACGAGGCAGCAGUCGAAGGUAGAAUCAAUGAUUGGGGUGAAGUCGUAACAAGGUAAC